rnacentral:tRNA from 1 species
CAAGUUAAUAUUUUAGGAAUAUUGUUAUUUACAAUAAUAAUUAAGAAUGUGCAAUUCAUUCUAACUUGA